UGCCGAUGAUGUAUGCUGUAUUGUCCGUACCAUCUGAAAGCGUUUUCUCUCGUUUUGAGGGAUCUCUUCUUUUUGAUUUUUACUUAGCAUCUUUUUUCUGAGGCAU